UUUGACCGUACCGAAGGAGACGGAGGCAGAGGCCCUCUCCUCCUCCGAAGGAGAACGGCGGCCGGCGCCACCGCCGCCGCCACGACGAUCGCCACCGCCACCAUGUACGCGCCCCCCGAGGGCGCCGCGGCACGCAAGGCGCCCACAAGUCGAAGCCCCUGAGCGACCGCCUGUGCCCGUUGAAGGGGAAGGAGAUGCCGUUGCUGAGGGCGCUCGGGCGCGAGUCCUGCGGGAUGCCCCUCUGUAAGAAGGCGGCGCGGUGGCCGGCGAAGAGGCUGCCGGCGGAGUAGCAGCUGAAGUAGCGCCUGUGCUACCCCGACGGCAAGCACGCCGGCAUGGACUCGCCCGCUUGGCGCCUCCUGAAGCGCAGGCCCCGGUUGAAGCGCCAGCCGCCGCGGUACCGCGACCCGGGCCUGAAGAAAGCCCCCUCUCCCCACGGGUACCCGCUGGCGUACGUGGAGCCGCAGCUCUACUUUACCAAGGUGCUGGACGAGCUAGACGAGACGGGGCGGCUGGCCCGACUAACGUACCCGUACUACUUAGUUAGAGAGAAGAACCAACCUCUUUAACCCCCGUUACUAAUGUUGUAUGGAGAAGAGAGAUCCCAAGGGAAACUCUUCUAAGCGUGCAAGUGAGGCUCACAACAACGGUUUUAAAGAAGAUGUCAGUGACUCAACUAACCAGACCCUCGGUUUUGUAACCAUCAAGGACCAUUGGAGGGGUAGCCCACGCAAGGUUUGAUGGACUACUAUAAGUUCUCACUGUUCUUCCUUCUAAUGCUCGGUCUCUGACCAACGGAUGCCACCUACUUGCUUAAGAGCUUCAUGGUGUUGUCUGAAGAGUAACUACUCAACCUUUUCAACGCGUUCGAAGUAGGACCGUACAGUUAUUAGAUACGGCUAAUGAUACCUCGACGAUACCUCUAGAUGGCAAGGGGGCUUGUUAAACCCUAACUAGUGGGAAGUCGUCGUACGACGCCACCUCCUCCUGGGAUACCACACAGGUACUGACGUUCUACACCUAUACCUCUUAUGUUCCACACACUACUAGGUGUUUUCAUACCUAGUACCCUACCAAAGGUAGGGAGUCUUCGACGUAUAUUCCCGUAGCGUUAACCGGAAGAUUCUCCUUGUAUGUGUGUCGGAAGUUAAAGAUGGUGGUAGUCAAGUACGGGUGUUGAAUGACUUGAACCGAGAAGGCAACUUAUGUUCCAGGAGAUACUAAACAUUGAGACAUUGAAUAAAAAAAACAAUGAUGAGGGAGACAGGGUUUUAUUCACAGAGUUCCAAUCAUGUUGAAACAUGAUUUCAAUCAUAUUUCAACUCUGUGAAUAAAACCCUGCCUCCUUCAUAAUUAAUUAAUAUCUUUAUACAAAUGAAUCUCUACAUGUCUAAUACUGUAAAACGGAUUAAUGUCUUGACGCCAUGACAAGAUGUGGAGUGCCAACAACGAGUUCACUAACCGACCGAAAAUAAAAGGCAAGUGAAAAAUAUCAUGUCCAAAAUAUGUAACAACAAGACAACUAAGCGGGAGAAUUUAUUUAAAAGAAAGGAUAUUAAUAAACCAAGAUUGAAAAAUCCCAGGAAAAGGGGGGACAACAAAUUCUCCUUCAUUUGUGUAGCCAACGAGUAGAACCGACGAACCGAUCACGCCGACUUUACAACCAAGAAGAUAACGACGAAACCAUUGA
rnacentral:rRNA from 1 species